rnacentral:rRNA from 1 species
GACGAACGCUGGCGGCGUGCCUAAUACAUGCAAGUUGAGCGCUGAAGGUUGGUACUUGUACCAACUGGAUGAGCAGCGAACGGGUGAGUAACGCGUGGGGAAUCUGCCUUUGAGCGGGGGACAACAUUUGGAAACGAAUGCUAAUACCGCAUAAAAACUUUAAACACAAGUUUUAAGUUUGAAAGAUGCAAUUGCAUCACUCAAAGAUGAUCCCGCGUUGUAUUAGCUAGUUGGUGAGGUAAAGGCUCACCAAGGCGAUGAUACAUAGCCGACCUGAGAGGGUGCUCGGCCACAUUGGGACUGAGACACGGCCCAAACUCCUACGGGAGGCAGCAGUAGGGAAUCUUCGGCAAUGGACGAAAGUCUGACCGAGCAACGCCGCGUGAGUGAAGAAGGUUUUCGGAUCGUAAAACUCUGUUGGUAGAGAAGAACGUUGAUGAGAGUGGAAAGCUCAUCAAGUGACGGUAACUACCCAGAAAGGGACGGCUAACUACGUG